rnacentral:rRNA from 1 species
UACGUAGGUGGCAAGCGUUGUCCGGAUUUACUGGGCGUAAAGAGCGCGCAGGCGGUCGUUCAAGUCGCGUGUGAAAGCCCCCGGCUCAACUGGGGAGGGUCACGCGAUACUGAUCGACUCGAAGGCAGGAGAGGGUAGUGGAAUUCCCGGUGUAGUGGUGAAAUGCGUAGAUAUCGGGAGGAACACCGGUGGCGAAGGCGGGUCUCUGGGCAGUAACUGACGCUGAGGAGCGAAAGCGUGGGGAGCGAACAGG